rnacentral:rRNA from 1 species
GUGGCGAACGGGUGAGUAACACGUGGAUGAUCUACCUUCAGAAUUGGGAUAGCUAUUGGAAACGAUAAUUAAUACCAAAUAAUAUAAUUGCUACAUAAGUAGUGAUUUUUAAAGGCGGGGACUUUUAGCCUGCCGUCUGAAGAUGAGUCCGCGUCCCAUUAGCUAGUUGGCAGGGUAAUGGCCUACCAAGGCAACGAUGGGUAGCCGGCCUGAGAGGGUGGUCGGCCACAUUGGGACUGAGACACGGCCCAGACUCCUACGGGAGGCAGCAGUUAAGAAUCUUGGACAAUGGGCGAAAGCCUGAUCCAGCGACGCCGCGUGGACGAUGAAGGCCUUUGGGUUGUAAAGUCCGGUAAGCAGGGAAGAAUAAGUGAAGUAUAAUACGCUUCAUGAUGACGGUACCUGUCUAAAGCCUCGGCUAACUACGUGCCAGCAGCCGCGGUAACACGUAUGAGGCAAGCGUUGUUCGGAAUUAUUGGGCGUAAAGGGCGUGUAGGCGGGGGAUUAAGUUAGAUGUGAAAUCCAUAGGCUCAACCUGUGAAUUGCAUUUAAUACUGGUUCUCUUGAGUUCGGGAGAGGAGAGCGGAAUUUCCGGUGUAGCGGUGAAAUGCGUAGAUAUCGGAAAGAACACCAGUGGCGAAGGCGGCUCUCUGGCCUAGAACUGACGCUGAUACGCGAAAGCGUGGGGAGCGAACGGGAUUAGAUACCCCGGUAGUCCACGCCGUAAACGUUGUAUACUAGGUGUAAGUGAUUUUAAUCAUUUGUGCCGCAGCUAACGCAUUAAGUAUACCGCCUGGGGAGUACACUCGCAAGGGUGAAACUCAAAGAAAUUGACGGGGCCCCGCACAAGCGGAGGAUCAUGUGGUUUAAUUCGAUCCUACGCGAAGAACCUUACCUGGGCUUGAACUGUGCCUGACAGGUGUAGAGAUACACCCUCCUUCGGGCAGGUACAGAGGUGUUGCAUGGUUGUCGUCAGCUCGUGUCGUGAGAUGUUGGGUUAAGUCCCGCAACGAGCGCAACCCUUACCCCUUGUUGCUAACAGGUUAUGCUGAGCACUCUAGGGGGACUGCCGGUGGUAAACCGGAGGAAGGUGAGGAUGACGUCAAAUCAUCACGGCCCUUAUGUCCAGGGCUACACACGUGAUACAAUGGUUGGUACAAAGAGAUGCAAGACCGCGAGGUGGAGCAAAUCUCAAAAAACCAAUCUCAGUUCGGAUUGCAGUCUGCAACUCGACUGCAUGAAGUUGGAUUCGCUAGUAAUCGCAGAUCAGAACGCUGCGGUGAAUACGUUCCCGGGGCUUGUACACACCGCCCGUCACACCAUCCGAGUUGGCAGCACCCAAAGCGGCUGAUCUAACCCGUAAGGGGGGAAGGUCGUU